GAUAGCUGGUUCUCCCCGAAAGCUAUUUAGGUAGCGCCUCGUGAAUUCAUCUCCGGGGGUAGAGCACUGUUUCGGCAAGGGGGUCAUCCCGACUUACCAACCCGAUGCAAACUGCGAAUACCGGAGAAUGUUAUCACGGGAGACACACGGCGGGUGCUAACGUCCGUCGUGAAGAGGGAAACAACCCAGACCGCCAGCUAAGGUCCCAAAGUCAUGGUUAAGUGGGAAACGAUGUGGGAAGGCCCAGACAGCCAGGAUGUUGGCUUAGAAGCAGCCAUCAUUUAAAGAAAGCGUAAUAGCUCACUGGUCGAGUCGGCCUGCGCGGAAGAUGUAACGGGGCUAAACCAUGCACCGAAGCUGCGGCAGCGACGCUUAUGCGUUGUUGGGUAGGGGAGCGUUCUGUAAGCCUGUGAAGGUGUGCUGUGAGGCAUGCUGGAGGUAUCAGAAGUGCGAAUGCUGACAUAAGUAACGAUAAAGCGGGUGAAAAACCCGCUCGCCGGAAGACCAAGGGUUCCUGUCCAACGUUAAUCGGGGCAG
rnacentral:rRNA from 1 species